rnacentral:rRNA from 1 species
UACAGAGGAUGCAAGCGUUGUUCGGAAUUAUUGGGCGUAAAGCGCGUGUAGGCGGCCUUGCAAGUCGAGUGUGAAAGCCCUCAGCUCAACUGAGGAAGUGCGCCCGAAACUGCAGAGCUUGAGUGCCGGAGAGGAGGGUGGAAUUCUCGAAGUAGAGGUGAAAUUCGUAGAUAUCCGGAGGAACACCGACGGCGUAGGCAGCGCCCUAGACGAGACCUGACGCUCAGGCACGAAAGCGCGGGGAGCGAACAGG